AUGCCCACGUACCUCCUCCUCCUCUUCUUCCUCGCUUUGUGGUUGUGGCCACCGGCGGCGAGCGUUGACGCCGCCUCCGCCACGGUGAGCCCGCUGCAGACAAUCACCAAAUUUACCGCUGACACCUACACGGCAAACAGCAGUUAUGGGUCCAACCUUCGAGCUCUCGGAGCCACCCUCGCCGCGGCCGCCGGCGCGUCGGGCUUUGCACAGGGAAGCUACGGCGAGGCGCCUGACAAGGUCUACGGCUUCGUGCUCUGCCGGGGUGACUACACCGGCGCCAACUGCGCCGACGGCCUCAGAGCCGCCUUCCAGGGCGUGCCCGAGCGCGUCUUCUUCCGGAAGGCCGCCGUCGUCUACUAUGACCAGUACAUGCUCCGGUUCACCGACGACGAGCGGUCCUUCUCGAACACCAGCAACGAGCCGGAAUGGUCCGCGAACAAUAUGAACUCUGUCAGCGGCUCCGAGGCAGCGGCGCGGCUGAUGGAGACGGUGGUGAAGCUGAUGAACGACCUGGCUGACCUGGCCACCUCGGGCAGCCCCAGGAGGACUAGCCCGUACGCGACCGGCGAGGCGGGGUUCGGCGAGCAGGGCGUGAGCACCGUGUACGGCCUGGUGCAGUGCAGGCCGGACCUCACCGGGUCACAGUGCAGGAGCUGCCUUGAUGGCAUUAUCAAGCUGUUGCCGACGCUGUUUAUGAGCAAUAAUAAGAGCAACCAAGAGGCCUCUUUAAGCCGCGUCGGGGGCAGGAUUUUGGGGGUUCGGUGUAAUCUGCGAUACGAGAAGGACUUAUUCUUCGAGGAGACAAGUGACACUAUCAAGAUCGACAUGCCUAAAAAUGGGAAGAGCGCUGUGUUUAUGAUCGUCAUAGUUGGAGUUCCUCUCCUAGUUUUGCUCAUCCUCGGCUUACUGCUAAGGCCAUACAUCGUGAAGAAAGUCAGAGAAUCGUUAUUGCAGACGGAAUUAGACACCCUGAAAAAGGAAAUAGUAAAUGAAAGCGACUCAAGGUUUUCGUUGUUCAGAUUCUUGAAAAUAAGGAGUGCUACUAAUAACUUCUCGGAUAAAAAUAAACUUGGAGAAGGUGGAUUUGGCAUUGUUUACAAGGGCCAUUUGUGUCACGAUCAAGACAUAGCAGUCAAACGGCUUUCUCCAAAUUCAGUGCAGGGGUUCCGCGAGUUCAUGAAUGAAAUCAAACUUAUAGCUAGCCUACAACAUAAGAAUCUUGUCAGGCUUCUUGGAUGUUGUAUCAAAAGCAAAGAGAGGAUACUUGUGUAUGAAUAUAUGCCAAACGGUAGCUUGGAAGAGUUCAUUUUUGGGGUAAGAGCAAAGAAGAGUUGGCCCGUACGUCGUGGCAUAAUCGAAGGGAUAUCAGAAGGCCUUCUCUAUCUGCAUGACUAUGCGCAUGAAUGCAUAGUCCACAGAGACAUGAAACCAAGCAACAUCCUAUUAGAUCAUGAAAUGAACCCAAAAAUUUCUGACUUUGGGAUUGCAAGGAUAUGCCUCUCCAGCGUGACAGAAUCAAAUACGACAACGGCUAUGGGAACAUUUGGAUACAUCGCACCGGAGUACUACUCCCAGAAUGUCUACUCAACAAGGUCUGAUGUUUUCAGCUUCGGCAUCCUAGUUCUCGAGAUCAUAAGUGGGAAGAGCGCCGUCGGUUCGUACGAAUUAUCCGGAAGAUCAUAUGAGCUCAGGAAAUAUGCCUGGCAGCUGUGGAGAGAGCAGAGGUGCGACGAGCUGGUGGAUGAUUCGCUUGGCGAGGAGUACCCGGAGAUGGACGUUAUGAGGUGCAUCCAGAUCGCGCUUCUAUGCGUCCAGGAUAGCGCGGAGGACAGGCCUACCAUGCGCGACGUGACGAUCAUGUUGAGCAAUGGAAACAAGAGGCUGCUCCUACCUGUGCAGCCCGGUUCUUGCAGCGUACACAUCGACGUCGGUACUGAAAUAGAGUUGUGA
rnacentral:rRNA from 1 species